AAAAAAACAAAGAAAAUCUUUGAUUGGUUGAAACUGGCCUGGCCCCACACCUUUCCCCUCUCCUCCAUCGGUGAACCCACGCCCAAUAUACACCCCGAAUCGGGACCCCGCUUUGAUGGCGGCGGUGUUCCCGAUCGGGGAAACCUAUCACCGCAACCACUCACCGAAGACGCCCCGUUCACCCUUAUGCUUAGUAGAACACAAGGCAAAUUGGGUGGUUCGUCAAGUAGUCAAGGCGAAACGGAUAGUCGGUUGAAAGGAAAGCUUUAAAGGUAACCGUAUGAAAUAAACGGAUGGCUUUCAAGCGUAGGAAUGAACCGAAUACACACUUAAAUCAAAGCUUCCGCAACCAAAUCAAGACUUUUGUUAUAACAGCUUUAGAGUUAUCUUAUCAUACUUUUGUACAUAUGGGUUGUAUGGUUUGAAAGUCAAGUAGGUUGUGUUCUAAUAAUAUGUUUUGAAACGUUAGUGAACGUAUUUUGAAGGGUUUGAAAACUUAUAUGAAUGUCGUUUUGUAAAUACAGCAC